rnacentral:rRNA from 1 species
GACGAACCGUGCGAACGUUGUUCGGAAUCACUGGGCUUAAAGGGCGCGUAGGCGGCUUGCCAAGUCGGGGGUGAAAUCCGGCAGCUUAACUGUCGAAGUGCCUUCGAUACUGGCGAGCUCGAGGGAGGUAGGGGUCUGUGGAACUUCUGGUGGAGCGGUGAAAUGCGUUGAUAUCAGGAGGAACACCGGUGGCGAAGGCGGGUCUCUGGGCAACAACUGACGCUGAGGAGCGAAAGCGUGGGGAGCGAACAGG